GUCCAUGCUGUAAACUAUGAGAACUUGCUGUUGGAUGCAUAAAGGCAUUUAGUAGCGAAGCUAACGCGUUAAGUUCUCCGCCUGGGGAGUACGGCCGCAAGGCUAAAAACUCAAAGGAAUUGACGGGGGCCCGCACAAGCGGUGGAGCAUGUGGUUUAAUUCGAUGCAACGCGAAGAACCUUACCUACCCUUGAAUCCACGAAAUCUUGCAGAGAUGUGAGAGUGCCUUCGGGAAUCGUGAGACAGGUGCUGCAUGGCUGUCGU
rnacentral:rRNA from 1 species